ensembl:snoRNA SNORA53 small nucleolar RNA, H/ACA box 53
AACACGCUCCUUAGAUCCACCUCUGGAGGGCGCUGCUCCACGAGCAGAGUUCCUCAGCAGCUUCUUGGCUGUACAGUUGGAGGUGCUUGAGUCAUUGGCGUGUGACAGCAGUCUACCUGCCCCUGCGCCCAUCUGCGGCACUGGCAACCUGAUCUGCAGACCAGGAGCUCCCAGUGCUGAGAGUCGGAGGGGCGGACACA